rnacentral:rRNA from 1 species
GAUGAACGCUGGCGGCGUGCCUAAUACAUGCAAGUCGAGCGAACGGACGAGAAGCUUGCUUCUCUGAUGUUAGCGGCGGACGGGUGAGUAACACGUGGAUAACCUACCUAUAAGACUGGGAUAACUUCGGGAAACCGGAGCUAAUACCGGAUAAUAUUUUGAACCGCAUGGUUCAAUAGUGAAAGACGGUUUUGCUGUCACUUAUAGAUGGAUCCGCGCUGCAUUAGCUAGUUGGUAAGGUAACGGCUUACCAAGGCAACGAUGCAUAGCCGACCUGAGAGGGUGAUCGGGCACACUGGAACUGAGACACGGUCCAGACUACUACGGGAGGCAGCAGUAGGGAAUCGUCCGCAAUGGGCGAAAGCCUGACGGAGCAACGCCGCGUGAGUGAUGAAGGUAUUCGGAUCGUAAAACUCUGUUAUUAGGGAAGAACAGAUGUGUAAGUAACUGUGCACAUCUUGACGGUACCUAAUCAGAAAGCCACGGCUAACUACGUG